rnacentral:rRNA from 1 species
UAACGUAGGGGGCUAGGCGUUGUCCGGAAUCAUUUGGGCGUAAAGAGCGUGUAGGCGGCCCGGUAAGUCCGCUGUAAAAGUCAAAGGCUCAACCUUUGAAUGUCAGUGGAUACUGCCGGGCUAGAGUCCGGAAGAGGCGAGUGGAACUCCUGGUGUAGUGGUGGAAUGCGCAGAUAUCAGGAAGAACACCAACGGCGAAGGCAGCUCGCUGGGACGGUACUGACGCUGAGACGCGAAAGCGUGGGGGAGCGAACAGG